rnacentral:rRNA from 1 species
UACGUAGGGGGCAAGCGUUAUCCGGAUUUACUGGGUGUAAAGGGGGCGCAGACGGCGAUGCAAGCCAGGAGUGAAAGCCCGGGGCCCAACCCCGGGACUGCUCUUGGAAUUGCGUGGCUGGAGUGCAGGAGGGGCAGGCGGAAUUCCUGGUGUAGCGGUGAAAUGCGUAGAUAUCAGGAGGAACACCGGUGGCGAAGGCGGCCUGCUGGACUGCAACUGACGUUGAGGCCCGAAAGCGUGGGGAGCAAACAGG